rnacentral:rRNA from 1 species
UACGUAGGGGGCAAGCGUUAUCCGGAUUUACUGGGUGUAAAGGGAGCGUAGGCGGCGAUGCAAGUCAGAAGUGAAAGCCCGGGGCUCAACCCCGGGACUGCUUUUGAAACUGUAUGGCUAGAUUGCAGGAGAGGCAAGUGGAAUUCCUAGUGUAGCGGUGAAAUGCGUAGAUAUUAGGAGGAACACCAGUGGCGAAGGCGGCUUGCUGGACUGUAAAUGACGCUGAGGCUCGAAAGCGUGGGGAGCAAACAGG